rnacentral:rRNA from 1 species
CGUGCCAGCAGCCGCGGUAAUACAGAGGGUGCAAGCGUUAAUCGGAGUUAUUGGGCGUAAAGCGUGCGUAGGCGGACACUUUAGUCGGGCGUGAAAUCCCUGGGCUUAACCUGGGAAUUGCGUUCGAUACUGAGUGUCUAGAGUAUGGUAGAGGAAAGUGGAAUUUCCGGUGUAGCGGUGAAAUGCGUAGAUAUCGGAAAGAACAUCAGUGGCGAAGGCGGCUUUCUGGACCAAUACUGACGCUGAGGUACGAAAGCGUGGGGAGCAAACAGGAUUAGAGACCCUGGUAGUCCACGCCGUAAACUAUGAGAACUAGGCGUUUCUGGCCACUAAAUGGUUUUUAGAUCUUUAUUAAGAUAAAAGAAUUAUUUAGUGGCCAGAAGUGCCGAAGCUAACGCGUUAAGUUCUCCGCCUGGGGAGUACGAUCGCAAGAUUAAAACUCAAAGGAAUUGACGGGGGCCCGCACAAGCGGUGGAGCAUGUGGUUUAAUUCGAUGCUACCCGAAGAACCUUACCUACCCUUGAAAUCCUCGGAAUCCUGCAGAGAUGCGGGAGUGCCUUCGGGAACCGAGUGACAGGUGCUGCAUGGCUGUCGUCAGCUCGUGUCGUGAGAUGUUGGGUUAAGUCCCGUAACGAGCGCAACCCUUGUCCUUAGUUGCCAUUUUCAUUUAUUUGAAAGGAACUCUAAGGAGACUGCCGGUGAUAAACCGGAGGAAGGUGGGGAUGACGUCAAGUCAGCAUGGCCCUUACGGGUAGGGCUACACACGUGCUACAAUGGGGAGUACAGCAGGUUGCCAAGUCGCGAGACGGAGCCAAUCCUAUAAAACUCCUCGUAGUCCAGAUUGGAGUCUGCAACUCGACUCCAUGAAGUUGGAAUCGCUAGUAAUCGCGUAUCAGCAUGUCGCGGUGAAUACGUUCUCGGGCCUUGUACACACCGCCCGUCA